AUGAACGCUGGCGGCGUGCCUAACACAUGCAAGUCGAGCGAAGCGCUUAAAUUAGAUUUCUUCGGAAUGACGAUUUUUGUGACUGAGCGGCGGACGGGUGAGUAACGCGUGGGUAACCUGCCUCAUACAGGGGGAUAACAGUUAGAAAUGACUGCUAAUACCGCAUAAGACCCCAGCUUUGCAUGAAGCGGUGGUAAAAACUCCGGUGGUAUGAGAUGGACCCGCGUCUGAUUAGCUAGUUGGUAAGGUAACGGCUUACCAAGGCGACGAUCAGUAGCCGACCUGAGAGGGUGACCGGCCACAUUGGGACUGAGACACGGCCCAGACUCCUACGGGAGGCAGCAGUGGGGAAUAUUGCACAAUGGGGGAAACCCUGAUGCAGCGACGCCGCGUGAAGGAUGAAGUAUUUCGGUAUGUAAACUUCUAUCAGCAGGGAAGAAAGUGACGGUACCUGACUAAGAAGCCCCGGCUAACUACGUG
rnacentral:rRNA from 1 species